UUAAGCGACUAAGCGUACACGGUGGAUGCCCUGGCAGUCAGAGGCGAUGAAGGACGUGCUAAUCUGCGAAAAGCGUCGGUAAGGUGAUAUGAACCGUUACAGCCGGCGAUGUCCGAAUGGGGAAACCCAGUGCAAUUCGUUGCACUAUCGUUAACUGAAUACAUAGGUUAACGAGGCGAACCGGGGGAACUGAAACAUCUAAGUACCCCGAGGAAAAGAAAUCAACCGAGAUUCCCCCAGUAGCGGCGAGCGAACGGGGAGCAGCCCAGAGUCUGAAUCAGCUUGUGUGUUAGUGGAACGGUCUGGAAAGUCCGACGGUACAGGGUGAUAGUCCCGUACACCAAAAUGCACAGGCUGUGAACUCGAAGAGUAGGGCGGGACACGUGGUAUCCUGUCUGAAUAUGGGGGGACCAUCCUCCAAGGCUAAAUACUCCUGACUGACCGAUAGUGAACCAGUACCGUGAGGGAAAGGCGAAAAGAACCCCGGCGAGGGGAGUGAAAAAGAACCUGAAACCGUGUACGUACAAGCAGUGGGAGCACCUUCGGGUGUGACUGCGUACCUUUUGUAUAAUGGGUCAGCGACUUAUAUUCUGUAGCAAGGUUAACCGUAUAGGGGAGCCGCAGGGAAACCGAGUCUUAACUGGGCGUUAAGUUGCAGGGUAUAGACCCGAAACCCGGUGAUCUAGCCAUGGGCAGGUUGAAGGUUGGGUAACACUAACUGGAGGACCGAACCGACUAAUGUUGAAAAAUUAGCGGAUGACUUGUGGCUGGGGGUGAAAGGCCAAUCAAACCGGGAGAUAGCUGGUUCUCCCCGAAAGCUAUUUAGGUAGCGCCUCGUGAAUUCAUCUUCGGGGGUAGAGCACUGUUUCGGCUAGGGGGUCAUCCCGACUUACCAACCCGAUGCAAACUACGAAUACCGAAGAAUGUUAUCACGGGAGACACACGGCGGGUGCUAACGUCCGUCGUGAAGAGGGAAACAACCCAGACCGCCAGCUAAGGUCCCAAAGUCAUGGUUAAGUGGGAAACGAUGUGGGAAGGCACAGACAGCCAGGAUGUUGGCUUAGAAGCAGCCAUCAUUUAAAGAAAGCGUAAUAGCUCACUGGUCGAGUCGGCCUGCGCGGAAGAUGUAACGGGGCUAAACCAUGCACCGAAGCUGCGGCAGCGACACUAUGUGUUGUUGGGUAGGGGAGCGUUCUGUAAGCCUGCGAAGGUGUGCUGUGAGGCAUGCUGGAGGUAUCAGAAGUGCGAAUGCUGACAUAAGUAACGAUAAAGCGGGUGAAAAGCCCGCUCGCCGGAAGACCAAGGGUUCCUGUCCAACGUUAAUCGGGGCAGGGUGAGUCGACCCCUAAGGCGAGGCCGAAAGGCGUAGUCGAUGGGAAACAGGUUAAUAUUCCUGUACUUGGUGUUACUGCGAAGGGGGGACGGAGAAGGCUAUGUUAGCCGGGCGACGGUUGUCCCGGUUUAAGCAUGUAGGCUGAUUGUCCAGGCAAAUCCGGAUAAUCAAGGCUGAGGUGUGAUGACGAGGCACUACGGUGCUGAAGUAACAAAUGCCCUGCUUCCAGGAAAAGCCUCUAAGCAUCAGGUAACAUUAAAUCGUACCCCAAACCGACACAGGUGGUCAGGUAGAGAAUACCAAGGCGCUUGAGAGAACUCGGGUGAAGGAACUAGGCAAAAUGGUGCCGUAACUUCGGGAGAAGGCACGCUGGUGUGUAGGUGAAGCCCCUGCGGGUGGAGCUGAGACCAGUCGAAGAUACCAGCUGGCUGCAACUGUUUAUUAAAAACACAGCACUGUGCAAACACGAAAGUGGACGUAUACGGUGUGACGCCUGCCCGGUGCCGGAAGGUUAAUUGAUGGGGUUAUCCGUAAGGAGAAGCUCUUGAUCGAAGCCCCGGUAAACGGCGGCCGUAACUAUAACGGUCCUAAGGUAGCGAAAUUCCUUGUCGGGUAAGUUCCGACCUGCACGAAUGGCGUAAUGAUGGCCAGGCUGUCUCCACCCGAGACUCAGUGAAAUUGAACUCGCUGUGAAGAUGCAGUGUACCCGCGGCAAGACGGAAAGACCCCGUGAACCUUUACUAUAGCUUGACACUGAACAUUGAGCCUUGAUGUGUAGGAUAGGUGGGAGGCUUUGAAGCGUGGACGCCAGUCUGCGUGGAGCCAACCUUGAAAUACCACCCUUUAAUGUUUGAUGUUCUAACGUUGGCCCCUUACCGGGGUUGCGGACAGUGUCUGGUGGGUAGUUUGACUGGGGCGGUCUCCUCCCAAAGCGUAACGGAGGAGCACGAAGGUUAGCUAAUCCUGGUCGGACAUCAGGAGGUUAGUGCAAUGGCAUAAGCUAGCUUGACUGCGAGCGUGACGGCGCGAGCAGGUGCGAAAGCAGGUCAUAGUGAUCCGGUGGUUCUGAAUGGAAGGGCCAUCGCUCAACGGAUAAAAGGUACUCCGGGGAUAACAGGCUGAUACCGCCCAAGAGUUCAUAUCGACGGCGGUGUUUGGCACCUCGAUGUCGGCUCAUCACAUCCUGGGGCUGAAGUAGGUCCCAAGGGUAUGGCUGUUCGCCAUUUAAAGUGGUACGCGAGCUGGGUUUAGAACGUCGUGAGACAGUUCGGUCCCUAUCUGCCGUGGGCGCUGGAGAAUUGAGGGGGGCUGCUCCUAGUACGAGAGGACCGGAGUGGACGCAUCACUGGUGUUCGGGUUGUCAUGCCAAUGGCACUGCCCGGUAGCUAAAUGCGGAAGAGAUAAGUGCUGAAAGCAUCUAAGCACGAAACUUGCCCCGAGAUGAGUUCUCCCUGAGACUUUAAGUCUCCUGAAGGAACGUUAAAGACGAUGACGUUGAUAGGCCGGGUGUGUAAGCGCAGCGAUGCGUUGAGCUAACCGGUACUAAUGAACCGUGAGGCUUAACCUU
rnacentral:rRNA from 2 species